CCUCGGGCGGCAGCAGUGGGGAAUAUUGGACAAUGGGCGAAAGCCUGAUCCAGCCAUGCCGCGUGUGUGAAGAAGGCCUUCGGGUUGUAAAGCACUUUCAGUGGGGAAGAAAGCCUUGGGGCUAAUACCCUCGAGGAAGGACAUCACCCACAGAAGAAGCACCGGCUAACUCCGUGCCAGCAGCCGCGGUAAUACGGAGGGUGCGAGCGUUAAUCGGAAUUACUGGGCGUAAAGCGCGCGUAGGCGGUCUGAUAAGCCGGUUGUGAAAGCCCCGGGCUCAACCUGGGAACGGCAUCCGGAACUGUCAGGCUAGAGUGCAGGAGAGGAAGGUAGAAUUCCCGGUGUAGCGGUGAAAUGCGUAGAGAUCGGGAGGAAUACCAGUGGCGAAGGCGGCCUUCUGGACUGACACUGACGCUGAGGUGCGAAAGCGUGGGUAGCAAACAGGAUUAGAUACCCCAGUAGUC
rnacentral:rRNA from 1 species